AUUGAACGCUGGCGGCAGGCUUAACACAUGCAAGUCGAGCGAGCGGCGGACGGGUGAGUAAUGUCUGGGAAACUGCCAGAUGGAGGGGGAUAACUACUGGAAACGGUAGCUAAUACCGCAUACCAUCAUUUGUGCCCAGAUGGGAUUAGCUAGUAGGUGGGGUAAUGGCUCACCUAGGCGACGAUCCCUAGCUGGCCUGAGAGGUUGACCAGCCACACUGGAACUGAGACACGGUCCAGACCCCUACGGGAGGCAGCAGAGGGAAAUAUUGCACAAUGGGCGCAAGCCUGAUGCAGCCAGGCCGCGUAGGUAAGGAAGGCCUUCGGGUUGUAAAGCACUUUCAGCGAGGAGGCGUUACUCGCAGAAGAAGCACCGGCUAACUCCGUGCCAGCAGCCGCGGUAAUAC
rnacentral:rRNA from 1 species